AUUGAACGCUGGCGGAAUGCUUUACACAUGCAAGUCGAACGGCAGCACGGACUUCGGUCUGGUGGCGAGUGGCGAACGGGUGAGUAACAUAUCGGAACGUAUCCAAUAAUGGGGGAUAACGAGUCGAAAGAUUCGCUAAUACCGCAUACGCCCUACGGGGGAAAGCUGGGGACCUUCGAGCCUGGCGUUAAUGGAGCGGCCGAUAUCUGAUUAGCUAGUUGGUGAGGUAAAGGCUCACCAAGGCGACGAUCAGUAGCUGGUCUGAGAGGACGACCAGCCACACGGGAACGGAGACACGGUCCAGACUCCUACGGGAGGCAGCAGUGGGGAAUUUUGGACAAUGGGCGCAAGCCUGAUCCAGCCAUUCCGCGUGAGUGAAGAAGGCCUUCGGGUUGUAAAGCUCUUUCGCAAGGGAAGAAAACUUAGCCACUAACAUUGGUUGAGGUUGACGGUACCUUGAUAAGAAGCACCGGCUAACUACGUGCCAGCCGCCGCCGUAA
rnacentral:rRNA from 1 species